GGUAACGUGUUCCUUGGCUGUGAAAUGUGAUUAGUCAUUUGAAAUGUAAAAUGGUGAGGAUGGAAGGUUGAACGUUUAACUUUUCAUCCAUUUUCAUCGACAAUUUUGAAUGAAGCCAACUAGAAGUCGUGUAUGUUCAAGUCUAAAGACUUGAAUAAAUGAAAUAAAAGUUAAGCAUAUACUUCAAAAUCUUUUUUUAUCAUUUUCUGGUGCAUAUUCCAGAGCUCAUAUCAUCGUCGGUUUCCUGUUUAGAAUCUGACAUGUCCACAACGAAUUUUGUCAGGUAAUUCAUUCAUUGGGAAUAUCUAACUGUAUGAGCACGGUCUCCACCCUGAUUGUUGCAUAUAGGACAUCUAUCUGCUCUUAAUAUUCGACGGAGUAUUUUACCUCUUUCAUCAAUUAUAGUACGACUUUUAUCCUUCUCCUGAGACUCGGCCCCUCGAUAAGUGAAAAAUCCCAGGCAGUAGUGCGAGAUGGAGUCUCAGCAUCUAAAAACUUGUUUGAUUCCCCAGCGAUUAUGUUUUUUAUUGUACAUAUACUGAAACAGGUGGGUUCGGUUCUUCGUACUGUACAUAUUAAUGUUUCGUUGACGUGUAUUUCUUGGUGGGGAGUAGUGAUGUCGGAACCUAUUUGCAUGAUCCACCAAAGGUUGAUAAGGUU